rnacentral:tRNA from 3 species
GGCCGGAUGGUGUAGUUGGUUUAUCACAUGUCCUUAACACGGACAAGGUCCUGAGUUCAAGCCUCAGUCUGGUCA